rnacentral:misc_RNA from 1 species
GAUGAAAGAACGUAGCGAAAUGCGAUACUUGGUGUGAAUUGCAGAAUCCCGUGAACCAUCGAGUCUUUGAACGCAAGUUGCGCCCGAAGCCAUUAGGCCGAGGGCACGCCUGCCUGGGCGUCACACGUCGUUGCCCCCCCAUCUACUCCUUCGGGAUUGCGGGGGGCGGAUGAUGGCCUCCCGUGCGCCUCGCCGCGCGGUUGGCAUAAAUGCCAAGUCCUCGGCGACGCACGCCACGACAAUCGGUGGUUGCGAAACCUCGGUUGCCCGUCGUGUGCGGUCGUCGCGCAUCGAGGGCUCGAAAAAAUUGCCGGGUUCCGGCUCGGCUUUCAACGCGACCCCAGGUCAGGCGGGGUUACCCGCUGAAUUUAAGCAUAUCAAUAAGCGGAGGA